ACCUUGGGUCUGGCUGGCCGGUCCGCCUCACCGCGAGUACUGGUCCGGCUGGACCUUUCCUUCUGGGGAAUCCCAUGGCCUUCACUGGCUGUGGGUGGAACCAGGACUUUUACUGUGAAAAAAUUAGAGUGUUCAAAGCAGGCCUUUGCUCGGAUACAUUAGCAUGGAAUAAUAGAAUAGGACGUGCGGUUCUAUUUUGUUGGUUUCUAGGACCGCCGUAAUGAUUAAUAGGGAUAGUCGGGGGCGUCAGUAUUCAGCUGUCAGAGGUGAAAUUCUUGGAUUUGCUGAAGACUAACUACUGCGAAAGCAUUCGCCAAGGAUGUUUUCAUUAAUCAGGGAACGAAAGUUAGGGGAUCGAAGACGAUCAGAUACCGUCGUAGUCUUAACCAUAAACUAUGCCGACUAGGGAUCGGGCGGCGUUUCUAUGAUGACCCGCUCGGCACCUUACGAGAAAUCAAAGUUUUUGGGUUCUGGGGGGAGUAUGGUCGCAAGGCUGAAACUUAAAGAAAUUGACG
rnacentral:rRNA from 1 species